rnacentral:lncRNA from 1 species
GCCUACGCCGACGUCGAGAAGGCCAAGGACUCUGUCGGCAUCCGCCCCGGCAAAGGUAAGAUGCGCAACCGCCGCUACAUCAACCGCAAGGGCCCGCUCAUCGUCUACGGCACCGAGGGCUCCAAGAUUGUCAAGGCCUUCCGCAACCUCCCCGGUGUGGAUGUCGCCAACGUCGAGCGCCUCAACCUGCUCGACCUCGCCCCUGGUGGCCACCUCGGGCGCUUUGUGAUCUGGACCGAGAGUGCCUUCAAGAAGCUUGAGGAGGUGUAUGGAACAUUUGACACCCCGUCACAGAAGAAGAAGGGCUUCGUGCUGCCAAGGCCCAAGAUGGCCAACGCUGACCUAGGC